rnacentral:misc_RNA from 1 species
GGAAGGAUCAUUAUAAGUUAUUGUUAACUAUGUUUUGUGCUAAUACGUCAACUACUUGUUGUCAUUGUUUGGAUACUGUAAAAUUUAAAACUUGCAACAACGGAUCUCUAGGCUCUCCAUCGAUGAAGAACGCAGCAAAAUGCGAUACGUAAUGUGAUCAGCGGCUUUCGUGAACCAUCGAGACUUUGAACGCACCCUUGCACUGCAGAGUUUAUUCUCUGCAGUAUGUUUUGUUUGAGUGUCUUAUACAACCUUAUGGUUUGCUAGUAAUAGCCCAUAGUUGCUGGUGUUGCAUUAGCUAGCUAGUGCUUCUACCGAAAUAUAUCCACCUUUAGUCUAGUUAAACUAACAAGACUAUGAUCAGGUAGCACAACAACCAGACCUCAAAUCAAGCAGGACUACCCGCUGAACUUAAGCAUAUCAAUAAGCGGAGGAAAAGAACUAACAAGGAUUCCUUUAGUAACGGCGAGUGAACAAGGACCAGCCCAAAUUUAAAAUCUGUUACCAAACAGAGUUGUAGUUUGGAGACCUGUGAUCAGCCGAAGCCUAACCGGUAAGUCUGUUGGAACACAGCGCCACAGAGGGUGAUAGCCCCGUCUGCACGGUACCGGCGGAGCACUACGACACAGUGUCGACGAGUCGAGUUGUUUGGGAUUGCAGCUCAAAGUGGGUGGUAAACUCCAUCUAAGGCUAAAUAUUGGGGAGAGACCGAUAGCAAACAAGUACCGUGAGGGAAGAUGAAAAGAACUUUGGAAAGAGGGUUAAAAGUGUGUGAAAUUGUUGUAAGGGAAACGAUUGCCCGUCGAUAGGAGCAUCGGUUGGUCUGCUAAGACGACGUCAACGAAUGUGGCUGGGCAACCAGUGUUUAAGCGUGGGCUGGAGUUAGCAGGCCGACUGUGGUCAGACUUGUACUUAGCGCUCUUCGGAGUCUACAAGAAGGAUGCUCUUGGCUGGUAAACGACCCGUCUUGAAACACGGACCAAGGAGUCUAACAUACAUGCGAGUAUUUGAGUGUUAAACUCUGGUGCGGAGCGAAAGCGAGAGGUGUGAGCCUAGCAAUAGGUGCAACACCGGCCAACUCUGAUUGUAUAUGACGAUGUUGAGUUAGAGCAUGUAUGCUGGGACCCGAAAGAUGGUGAAACUAUGCCUGAAUAAGAUGAAGCCAGAGGAACUCUGGUGGAGGUCUGUAGCGGUUCUGACGUGCAAAUCGAUCGUCAAAUUUGGGUAUAGGGGCGAAAGACUAAUCGAACCAUCUAGUAGCUGGUUCCUGC